UGAGUUAAUAUUUAACGUCACAUCGGCAAUAUCUCAGCCAUAGCGUGACAAGAACAUAUUUCUCAUUGAAAUGGAAUAUAUGUAUAUGAUAAAAAACCUGUCGACGAAGGACAGUAAAACAACCUGUAUAUCACAAUACAACUAAAACUAGUGUGGAAAGUUGAAACUAAUAGCACUAUGAGGACAAAACAGUAU